CAGUCGCCGCGGGAAUACGUAGGGCGCAAGCGUUAUCCGGAAUUAUUGGGCGUAAAGAGCUCGUAGACGGUUUGUCGCGUCUGCCGUGAAAGUCCGGGGCUCAACCCCGGAUCUGCGGUGGGUACGGGCAGACUAGAGUGAUGUAGGGGAGACUGGAAUUCCUGGUGUAGCGGUGGAAUGCGCAGAUAUCAGGAGGAACACCGAUGGCGAAGGCAGGUCUCUGGGCAUUAACUGACGCUGAGGAGCGAAAGCAUGGGGAGCGAACAGGAUUAGAUACCCCCGUAGUCCCUGUCUCUUAUAC
rnacentral:rRNA from 1 species